rnacentral:lncRNA from 1 species
AUGAAUGGAGCUGGGGUGUCCCAUGCAGAUGCUCUGGGCGAACACUCCCAUGCUUUCCUGUUCUGCUGGAAAAUGUCAGCUUUCUGGGGGCAAGUGGGUGUCUGGAGGGCUGUCCUGCACCUGGGGCCUGUCAGUCCUUCCAGCCUGAUGUCAGGGCUGGGAUGGGAGCCUGACGUCUGGGCCCCAUGUCCAGAAGCUGAAGAGUUUGGGUCUCAUCAUCCAAAAGGCAUCUCCAGGGCAGCGAUUCAAUUUUGUGAGCGUGUAGGCUGCAAAUCUGCUUACCAGAUUUCUGGGAAGCUUAGAAGAGACGAAUUAAAUGGAAGUGCUCUUUCCAAAGGCUCCUUUCCCUCCUGUGCACCAAAAGCAUCUCCCAGGCGGUCCUGCAGCGCUCCCUUUGCCUCUUCUGAGAUGCCUCCUGAGAAAGCAAGAUGCAACGGUUGGUCUUUGGGAAGUGCAUCUAUGGCUUGGAGAAGAAUUGUGCUGCACCACCGCAUCUCCAACCCGCAUCCCAGAGAUAACGGGGAGCAUGGAGCUGGUGGUGGCCCCUUCAGGCGCCUGGAGUAAAUGCAGCAUCUCUAAAGGAUUGCUUUGGUUUCUGCUCAGAGCAGACAGAGCUGCACGAGGUUGGGACUUGUCGAGUUUCCUGGCUUUACAAGGUUCAGUUUGGGGUGCUGUGGUUUGAGGUGCAGGAGGGUGAGUGCCACAUGGGGAUGGUUUCUCUCCAAAUGCAAACAAUGCAAAGGGGGUAAAAAUAAAGAAAUUAAAAAUAAAAGUGAGACAAUAGUCCAGAGCAGUUGUUUCCAAACGCUGCUGC